ACACUGCUGAAUAGUCCCAUAAUAGGACGAAACGGCCGUCCAGUAC
rnacentral:hammerhead_ribozyme from 1 species